rnacentral:tRNA from 1 species
GGGCGAAUAGCUCAGUUGGGAGAGCAUCUGACUUACAUUCAGAAGGUCACAGGUUCGAGCCCUGUUUCGCCCA